GCCUGGGUGGCUCAGUCGGUUGAGCAUCUGACUUUGGCUCAGGUCAUGAUCUCACAGUUUUGUGAGUUCAAGCCCCGUGUCGGGCU
rfam:Felis catus isolate Cinnamon breed Abyssinian chromosome A2, whole genome shotgun sequence.